AGCGAGGCUGUGAAGCGGAGCAAAUCUCAAAAACCGGUCCCAGUUCGGAUUGUAGGCUGCAACUCGCCUACAUGAAGUCGGAGUUGCUAGUAAUCGCGGAUCAGAAUGCCGCGGUGAAUGCGUUCCCGGGUCUUGUACACACCGCCCGUCACACCAUGGAAGUUGGGGGCGCCCGAAGUUGCCUAAGAAAUAAGGUACCUAAGGCGAAACCAAUGACUGGGGUGAAGUCGUAACAAGGUAAC
rnacentral:rRNA from 1 species